rnacentral:rRNA from 1 species
ACGUAGGGGGCGAGCGUUGUCCGGAAUUACUGGGCGUAAAGGGUGCGUAGGCGGCCUUUUAAGUUGGAUGUGAAAUACCCGGGCUUAACUUGGGGGGUGCAUCUAAUACUGGAGGGCUAGAGUGCAGGAGAGGGAAGCGGAAUUCCUAGUGUGGGGGUGAAAGGCGUAGAUAUUAGGAGGAACACCGAUGGCGAAGGCGGCUUUCUGGACUGUAACUGACGCUGAGGCACGAAAGCGUGGGGAGCAAAAAG